rnacentral:lncRNA from 1 species
ACACCGAGCUACCCUGCCGGCAGCACAGAGUGAACAGCGCCGUGCACCCAUCUGGGCCUGACCUGCCUACAUUGUUAGCCUAAAAUACUUUUAUCUGCGCAGCAGAGAAAAAGGAGCACAGACCUCACAGACAGACAGAUUGGGCUCAACAUGCACCUGGGCCUUGAGGAGAAUCUGCCUGUGCAGGGAGGCUCACAUGCUGACCGCGAGCAGACGGAACAAUCCUCGUUUGUUCAUGGAGAAACAAGACCACGGGUGACUCUGGGUAACUGAGACCUCAGGAAGUGAAACCUCAGAUAAAGGAUUCAACAGAGUUGGAUUGCUGAGAAUAAAAUUACGGAUUUCUCCAUAAUGGACACACGCACUUUUUGUUUGUGCUGUUUCCUUUAGAAUGGACGAUGAGUCAAAAUUGUUCGUUUAUGCUUCUUCACAGAAGGAUCUUCUGUGUCGUAGGAGGUGGCCUGCAGCAAUCUGGACAUUCAGUGGUCCUCCUGUGAUUAAUAGGUGAACGGAUGAGCUAUUCUGAUAAGAACUGGGGAACUUUUGCCAUUCAAAAGCAAAUAGAAGAACUGGGAGAUUCCUCAACUUAGCUUUUCUUUUUUUUGGUUCUAAAGUGACUGCGAAUGGAGGUAGAAGAGAAGAAAAGCUUUCAAAAACAUCUUCCAUUAAGAAAAAUAUGUAUCUUCAUGAAGACCUAUCUGAGUAAAAUUACUAAAACAUAAUGGCUUUCUUGAAAUAGAAUGGAAUGAAAGGCAUAUUAGGGAGUAUGAAAGUAUGAAGAUUUUAUUAACAUACUUCUAGAAGUUUAUUAAAUAUCUGCACAGGAACUGUAAUUUGAGAUCAGUGGUGGAAAGAGAAUAAAGGAAUCACGUGGACAUCAGCUCUGAGGCCUGUGGCCCCACUUGCUUCUGGGCUUUCUAUAGACAUUUGCUGGUGACCUGCCCAGGCAGGCUAGAGUACCCUUCCUCAUUGCACCCUGUGUUCCCAUCCUCUUUUCCUUCCUUCCUUCCUUCCUUCCUUCCUUCCUUCCUUUCUUCCUCCAUCCCUUAUGAAACCCUCGUUGUGCAGUUACUUAUUAGGUGCUGUGUGAGCGUCUGAAGUCUCCCCUCACCCACUUUUCCAUUUGGGCCACUUGGCCAGUGAUUGCAUCAGUACCAGGGUUCUAGGAGCCAUGCAGGGAUCCCCAGUGGGCAGAGCUGGCCGUAGCAUUUGGAAAGGAAGAGAGAGAACUGGAGACAAUGCCUAGGAACAAAAGCAGAGUCCAGACCCAGGCAUCAAGUGCAAAUCCAAAGGCUCUGGAUGAGUCAGUUCCCAGCAAAGGGACACAAGUAGGCACAGAAGGAAGGACAGCAGAAAACACUGGUCCAGAGAGGGCCUGCAGAGCCAGAAGCGAUGACGCAUCCAAGGUUGUGUUUGACUUCUGCACUGCCUCUGCAACCUGUAAGCACAUCUGAGCCAGUUCAGAAAGUAGGAAAACCAAAGUAUAUCAGAAAUGGCCUCUUAUCAUCAAGGAGAUUUUGGUCUAGAUUGCUUAUUGCUCAGGAGAAAUCACCACUUUUUAAAAAGAUAUGCUGAGAUAGGGUUUAGUUGGGAUAGAAAAGGUUAUUAAACUACGGGACACCCUUCCUUUACAGAGUGUAAGCACUACUACCCCUUUUGUUUGUCUGUUUUUCUUAUUUUUCUCACAGAUGCAGUUCCUGCAUUAGUAUUGAUAAAUGUGUGGCUGCUCCACUUGGAGUGUUUUCAAAGCAUAAAUCACAGCAUUGAUGGUGCUGUGGUUUGGCUCUUCCAGCCCUCUUAACAACGGUCUGAUGGACUUGGCGAGAGUCUAGCCACGUGUUCUGGCCUCUGUCACUCUCAUGGCUGAAACGCAUGCACACCCACAGAUGGGGGCCCCGUGGUAGAGAUGUGCCUCUACUUGUCAAAUAGACUGACUCCAAAUUCGGAAAUAUGCCUCAGGAAUCUAGAAAGAUAGAAAAGGAGUCUUCGUCACUGUAGGGUCUCAUUCACAAUAUGGAGGAGAGAUGGAGGGGAGUUUUUGGUAUAAAUUUUGCCUCAUAAAAAUUCUCCACGUUGUUUUGUACUGUAUGAGGGUAGCGAGAAAUUAGUUGAUGGUUAACAAUCAAGCUGGAGAAGAAUAUCCUCAAUUUUUCACAUGGAAAAUGAAAAACUACAACUCCUUCCAAAUAUAUGUAUGUUUCUUUUCUGAAGAUAGACGUGUGUGUGUUUGUGUGUAUCAUAUAACAUUUAUUUUUUGAUUUCUUUGUUAUCAACAGUAAAAAUACAGAAAAUGAUGCCAAAGAGAAUUUCUGAUUUUUCUUUCCUUGUUUUCCAUUAAAGUGUAUUACAAAUAAUGUCUUCAAACACAAUAGCAUGCAUAGUGGCUUAAAUUGGAUUCUUCCUGGGCCACUCUGUUUAGGAUCCAGGUUUUUAACAUUGUUCUUCUAAGUGCAUCCAUGUUUCCUGAGAUCCACAAAGCUUGAUCUCAUCCGUGGAACCACCUGGCCUAGAACCAGCUGCG